rnacentral:rRNA from 1 species
AACGAACGCUGGCGGCAGGCUUAACACAUGCAAGUCGAACGCCCCGCAAGGGGAGUGGCAGACGGGUGAGUAACGCGUGGGAACAUACCCUUUCCUGCGGAAUAGCUCCGGGAAACUGGAAUUAAUACCGCAUACGCCCUACGGGGGAAAGAUUUAUCGGGGAAGGAUUGGCCCGCGUUGGAUUAGCUAGUUGGUGGGGCAAAGGCCUACCAAGGCGACGAUCCAUAGCUGGUCUGAGAGGAUGAUCAGCCACAUUGGGACUGAGACACGGCCCAAACUCCUACGGGAGGCAGCAGUGGGGAAUAUUGGACAAUGGGCGCAAGCCUGAUCCAGCCAUGCCGCGUGAGUGAUGAAGGCCUUAGGGUUGUAAGGCUCUUUCACCGAUGAAGAUAAUGACGGUAGUCGGAGAAGAAGCCCCGGCUAACUUCGUGCCAGCCGCCGCAGUAACAC